GUUAGCGAGUACUUAUAUAAACGCGUACCGGCUCUAUAAACCGAGUCGCGCCCGAUACUAUGGCGAUAAGGCUUCUAGCAAAUUGGCUUUGCUCGGUAAUUAAAAAAAAAAAAAAAAAGAAAAAAAACCUACCGAUGAUGUAACACUCGGCAUUAUAUCCGAUCGUAAUUAAUCCGAUUACAUAUUGUUAUUUCACGUUUAAUCCGUAGACACGACACAUACGACGUAUAUAUUAGUGUAUGUAUAGUGUUUUAUAUGUGUUUUACUACAGGCGCGCGUAUAUAUCGCGGGAAACCGUACUAAAAACCGUAUCAGAGC